ACUUGCAAACAAGUCAAAUAAAACAACUUUCUAGAGCACUUACUUGCAUCUUUUCUGUCCCGUGAUGAAGCUUUCAAGCUCAUAAAUGAUGGAUGGUUGAAUCAUAGUAAUGGUGCCAAAGGAGCUACAGAAUAGCUGGUGUUGAAUGAUAACUUUGUUUAUGGUGACUAUGUCAGUUUGUGAAGUUCCUUUUGGUUUGA